GACGAACGCUGGCGGCGUGCCUAAUACAUGCAAGUCGAGCGAAGCGGCGGAUGGGUGAGUAACGCGUGGGUAACCUGCCCUUAAGUGUGGGAUACCGUAUGGAAACAGAAGCUAAUACCGGAUAUUAAAGGAUGGACAUGGGAUGCAUUAGCUGGUGGGUAAGGUAAGGGCUUACCAAGGCGAGAAUGCAUGGCCGAGUUGGGGGACUGAUCGGCCACAUUGGGACUGAGACACGGCCCAAACUCCUACGGGGGGCAGCAGUAGGGAAUCUUCCACAAUGGACGAAAGUCUGAUGGAGCAACGCCGCGUGAGUGAAGAAGGUUUUUGGAUCGUAAAGCUCUUUUGUUGGUGAAGCGGUAAUCAACCAGAAAGUCACGGCUAACUACGUGCCAGAGCCGCGGUAAUAC
rnacentral:rRNA from 1 species